AAACCAUGCAUCAGACAUUUUUCGCAACAAAUCCUUAAAUUGCUCCUAUGCUUCAUAAAAGUUCUCAUCCUCCAAUUGCUUGAAAGAUGUGAUGUUGUUUCUCAAUCU